GGUGUGGUUCUCAACACUUUAAGAGGAAUGUAGCGAAACUGGAGAGAGUCCAGCAAAGAGUAACAAACGUGAUAAAAGAGUAGGAAAACAGAACCUGAGAGGAAAGCUUAAUAACUAGGAUUGUGUAGGCUGAAGGAGCGAGAGGGCUAAAGGCUUUUCUUCGAGAGAUGGAGGACUGCAAUGUAAUGGGCAUUUGCUUGAUGUUCCAGGCAGUCGGAGUUGACAAGACUGAGCCAGUCAUGGAGAUGUUACCAAAUACAGGAAAAGCAGAAGGAAACAUUCAGAUUGUCAUGAGACAAGCUAUUCUGUUUACUGAGUGCUGAAAACUAAGAGCAGCAGAUAGACUGGGUAACAUGGAGGAUCAGAAGGUGUACUGCGACAUGGAGUAACAGGGGAUGCAUUUCCUUCAGUGGUGUCUUCACUUGGAGAAGCCCCAAUGCCGUCAAGAAGAGGAUGCCCACCAGGUUUAUUCCCAGCAUAACAACCUGAGCUUGAAUGAUUUACCUCAUUGUGUUUAUUUGCAAAAAGAGCCUUCUUUUUGGC